UAAAUGUGGGAAUAAUAUGCAUCGACAUUAAGAAGAAAAUCCUCAGGUUAAACAUUAGUUGAUGCAGGACAACUAUUAUUUCUUGUUCUCGGUUUGACAAAGCCAUCCUAAGCCAAGAAGUUCCUACAAAAUAUAUUCACAAAUUUGUUUAACCAAAAUAGCCCAAUCGUGAUUCCUGCAACAUGUUUACAGAAUUGGGACGUGCGCAUUACAAAGAACACCAAACUCUCAAAUAAUAUGUGAAAAUAACAGAUAGAUGAACGCAAACAAAUUAAAACAAAUUUCGCAAACGUACAGUAGACAGUAGUAAAUGUAAAUUAACACAGAGUACUAGUAGAUAAUAAAUAUACGGAUGAACCAAAUGUUACAUAUACUAGUCGGGUUAGUACCUGUAUCCUCCACUCGAAAUCCGUUUAUGAGACUGGCGCGAUGUACAAUUACGCGAAACCCUGAUGGACUCUCUUGAAGAACGAAACCCUAACUAUGUAUGAUGUC
rnacentral:lncRNA from 1 species